rnacentral:rRNA from 1 species
UACGUAGGGUGCAAGCAUUAAUCGGAUUUACUGGGGCGUAAAAGGGCGCGUAGGCGGGCGCAACAAGUCACUUGUGAAAUCUCCGGGCUUAACCCGGAGCGGUCAAGUGAUACUGUCGUGCUAGAGUGCGGAAGGGGCUACUGGAAUUCUUGGUGUAGCAGUGAAAUGCGUGGAGAUCAAGAGGAACACUCGUGGCGAAAAGCGAGCUAC